AUUGAACGCUGGCGGCAUGCUUUACACAUGCAAGUCGAACGGUAACAGGCCUUCGGGUGCUGACGAGUGGCGAACGGGUGAGUAAUGCAUCGGAACGUACCCAGAGGUGGGGGAUAACGCAGCGAAAGCUGUGCUAAUACCGCAUGUGAUCUGAGGAUGAAAGCGGGGGACCGAGCUGCAAUGUUUGGCCUCGCGCCUUUGGAGCGGCCGAUGUCGGAUUAGCUAGUUGGUGGGGUAAAGGCCUACCAAGGCGACGAUCCGUAGCUGGUCUGAGAGGACGACCAGCCACACUGGGACUGAGACACGGCCCAGACUCCUACGGGAGGCAGCAGUGGGGAAUUUUGGACAAUGGGCGCAAGCCUGAUCCAGCAAUGCCGCGUGCGGGAAGAAGACCUUCGGGUUGUAAACCGCUUUUGGCAGGAACGAAACGGUGUCCGCUAAUACCGGGCGCUAAUGACGGUACCUGCAGAAUAAGCACCGGCUAACUACGUG
rnacentral:rRNA from 1 species